GGUUCAAUGAUAGCUAUCACGCUUGAUGGGAAGUUCCUUGCCACCACCUACACCAGGGGCACGCUUAUUCGUGUUUUUUAUAUGCCGAGUGGGGCCGAAUGGGGCUAUGCUUCAAGAAACUUGGAUUUCUUGUUUCAUAUGUUUUUUCUUGCUCGGCACUGCAAGCUUCUAGAGGAGAAAUCGUUUCGGGGGAGAACUGCUGAUUUAUUUUACAUACUCUUAUUUGGUGCCACUUGACUGGAAUUGUUCUUCUUGGGGGGAUGAUAUAUGAUGGUUUACGUAUGGAGCAAACAAAAUCCCUUUACUCAUAUGAGCUUCCUUGGCCUCUUUACUUUCACUGCUGCCUACCUUCCAUGGGUUUGAUGGAGCUGCACCCGAGCUCCAAAAGGGAAUCAGAGGUGGUCAUGUAGCCGGCAGCAAAUACAUUCCUUUUCCCCAACAAAUACAUUCAAUUGUAUGUUAUCCUUUCCUCGGGUCAUCUUUAAAUAUAUUUGUCAACUUUGACUGUUACACUGUUGGAUAGAAUAAUGAAAAGGAAAAAAAGUAAAACUUGAUUAACCAUCUUACUUUUGACAUGGAAGGUUGAGGAACAUGUUAGAUCAUUUGAAUUGAUGAUGUUUGGAAUAUCAGAUUGGCCCUAUUCCUGUUGAAGAUGAAAAAGAUGAGAGAUUCUUUGAGCAAGAUGUAAAAGCAAAAAGAGAUAGACAUAGAGUACAGCAUGUGUGUGUGAAUCAUAGCAUGAGGUACGACUUUAUUUAGAUGUUAUAAAAACUAGUAUAAAGAAUCUAGAUAUGUCUGAAGGUAGUAGCAUAAUAUAGCUUGGCUGAUGGCUAAUUAAUGAGUCAGUAUCUUAAAGCUGUGUUAAAAAUAAAAGGAUUGGAAACUUGGUAGUUAGAUUAUAAUGAAAUUAAGGAAAGAUUGACAAGGGAAUAAAUUAAAAAAAAAAGCAUCAAAAAAGCUGCAUAAUAUAUAUUAUAGUUAUAAAGGCCCAAUGCACUGAUGUUUAACUAUAUCUAUGUAUAAUUAAUAUUAGAAAAAAUUAGUUAAGAAAUUUAAAAUUAUUAAAAUAUUUAUUUCAUAAAAGUAACCCUUCCGUAUAUGUAAGAAGAUCCACUACAAGAAAACCUGGAUACGGAGGCGAUGUCUUGAUGGCCGUUUUAAAAACCAACCCUAUAUUUAGCAAUUAACAUAUCCCUGAGCUGCAUAAAGUCUUUUUGUUUUCUCUCUCGACGCAUUUUAUUAUUAUUAUUGGUUUUAGUUCUAGUUACCUUUCUUGACUUCACAUAGUGCGAGUCCUAAAGGCUCUCAAUUUUUAUUUUCUCUGAUGCUGUUGGUGCCUUGAAUGGUAGAAUCCACGUGGGAUUCUUAAGCGGAGGUGCUAAGAGGAUGUGGGUGAGGAACUCUUUGCAUAUUUUGGAAAUUCCUCAUGCCCAAGAUUAAUUGUUGUUAGAUGGUUCACAGACAUUGUUACCCCUGUUAGAGAAAGUCUAAUGUUGCAGUUUAUGAUGGAUUUUGGACUGAAUGGGGAGCACAAUCUGAUACCUCUGUUGAAAGUUCUUCCUAAUGAGACAAUCUAGUGAGAUAGAUUAUCAUGGCACCAAAAAAAUAUUUGCAAGAGAAGGGGUUGUAUCUUUUUUUUUUUAAAAAAAAAAAUAGGCUGUAUCUUAUUUUUGUA